rnacentral:lncRNA from 1 species
GGACAUGAGACUUAUUGACAGGCCAACACUUAGCUCCAUACAACAUAGUCGGUCUAACCACCACUCAACAUGAAAAGUGAUUCCUUUAUAUGCAAAGCAUUAUUCUGAUGGGCUGUGCUCCCUAACAAGUCAGAGGUAAAUCAGAGAAAAUGCUGAUUAAAUUUAAUUAAAAUGUUGAAGGUUCAAGUACCAUCGACUUGGAGAUAUUCAAGAGUACUAGC